CUUGAAGCAAAGGUUGGCGAAGUAGAUGAAGUCCUCCCUGAAGAGAAAUGCAGAAACAGCCGGAUAUAUGCUUACUGCAUCUCCUGGCAGUGAUCUGACAGAUCUAUAGUUCUUGUGGAAACUGCAAAGGAGAAGCUAUAUGUGCUUACUGCAUUUCAGGGCUCAGCCAGGAGCCAUAUCUUUCUUCAAGUUCCCUGGGGUGGCAUAUUUGUGGCGGGAGCUGAUCACAUUGCAUCAAAGAAGGCCCACCUUUUCGUAGCAGACUGUUGAUCAGAUUAUUGUAGAACUUGAUGCCUGCCGGAUUAACACCACCAAAGUGACCCUCUGUUCCGGACCAUUCAAAAGGUAUCGAUGGUAAUGGUCAACAGCCACAUCGCCAUUGCUUCCAUCCACAAUCUUUCCUGGUUUUGGAGUAGCAGCAGCAAGAUUAAGAUAGCCAACAAAUAAGUCAAGCGAGUCUGUGAUCGUCAAGCGCACGUCUAUAGCUGCACUUGCUGCCAUCAGUCAUCUACGAGUAUUAAAACAGAUAGCUACCUCCUGAAUUGAGUCUACCAACAAUGAUAUGAUCCACUGUUUUCAUUACAGAAUUGUCCUAACUA